rnacentral:rRNA from 1 species
GACGAACGCUGGCGGCGUGCUUAACACAUGCAAGUCGAACGGAAAGGCCCUGCUUUUGUGGGGUGCUCGAGUGGCGAACGGGUGAGUAACACGUGAGUAACCUGCCCUUGACUUUGGGAUAACUUCAGGAAACUGGGGCUAAUACCGCAUAGGAGCUCCUGCUGCAUGGUGGGGGUUGGAAAGUUUCGGCGGUUGGGGCUGGUCUCGCGGCUUAUCCGCUUGUUGGUGGGGUAGUUGCUUUCAAAGGCUUUGACGGGUAGCCGGCCUUGGAGGGGGACCGGCCACAUGGGGACUGAGAUACGGCCCAGACGCCUACGGGAGGCAGUAGUGGGGAAUAUUGCACAAUGGGCGGAAGCCUGAUGCAGCAACGCCGCGUGCGGGAUGACGGCCUUCGGGUUGUAAACCGCUUUCGCCUGUGACGAAGCGUGAGUGACGGUAAUGGGUAAAGAAGCACCGGCUAACUACGUG